rnacentral:rRNA from 1 species
UAGGGAAUCUUCCGCAAUGGACGCAAGUCUGACGGAGCAACGCCGCGUGAGUGAAGAAGGAUUUCGGUUCGUAAAACUCUGUUGUUAGAGAAGAACAGCGCAUAGAGUAACUGUUAUGCGUGUGACGGUAUCUAACCAGAAAGCCACGGCUAACUACGUGCCAGCAGCCGCGGUAAUACGUAGGUGGCAAGCGUUGUCCGGAUUUAUUGGGCGUAAAGCGAGCGCAGGCGGUCAAUUAAGUCUGAUGUGAAAGCCCCCGGCUCAACCGGGGAGGGUCAUUGGAAACUGGUUGACUUGAGUGCAGAGGAGGAGAGUGGAAUUCCAUGUGUGACGGUGAAAUGCGUAGAUAUAUGGAGGAACACCAGUGGCGAAGGCGACUCUCUGGUCUGUAACUGACGCGGAGGCUCGAAAGCGUGGGUAGCAAACAGG